UGGGCCCGGGGGGAGGAAGUGUUUAUGAACAAAAGGUCAUGAUUAAUCCGGCUCUGCUCAGAGCGCUGACGUGCAUU